UUCUAAAGAUAUGAGGUCGUGGCCCGUGGCGGCGUCGGCAUGCAGAGAUCCUCAAAAUUCUAAAGAUGCAAUUCGUUUUCUGUUAUCUCUCCCCACCUUCUGAAUUUUCUUUAUAACCCGUGGACACAGUUUAGUCCUCUGUUUUUGUGAGUUUCUGUCAAGUUUCAUUGGAUAUAAAUCUGUUUGAAAACUUACUGUACUAUCUUGGCUGUUGGACUUUAGUUUCCAGUCCAUUGGUUCAUCCCCAAUUCGUCGAUCCCUGCUAAAACUGAAGGUGAACUAUUCGUUUUUUCAUUCUAUAGAAACAGAGUAGCAUAUGUUGUUAGUACUUAUCCUAUUCAGUCUGGUGGCCAUGUCGUGCUCUAACAGAGUUUUCUGAUGGUGUUUUUGUAGGUUCCGGAGCAGGACCAAGAGAGACUCUUUGGUUUCGGCCCAGAACCUGAGAGACUCUUUGAUUGAAGCCAAGUCUAACAUUGCCGUUAAGCUUAGCUAUUCAAAUGUAUCCCACUCGAGCUACACCGCCAAUCGUCGUUACGGUUAGCUAUUCUCAGGUUUUUUCUGGAUGCUUGAAUAGUGGGACGUAACUAAGUGCUACAACUACCUGAACUAUCUUGAUUAUAGAUAUAUUUGCAUUAUUCAAUGACUGAAGUAUAUCCUGAUUGAUAGGUAGUUCUAAUGUUCAUACCCAGAAUUUAUUGAGCUCAUUUUAAUCUUUCGUUUGGAUGUCAAUUUAAGUAGGAAGAUGACUGUGACCAUAUAAUGGAGAGAGCUUGUGAAAUUUCAACUAAAUAUUAAGCCUGAUAUCAAAUAGUUGGAAAUGCUUCUCGAAUCUUCGUCCAGGCUGAUGGCACACUGAACAAGUUAUGCCAUAAGGCGCAUUUGAAGGAAGAGAAGGUGGCUAUUAAUAACUUCGAAAGAUGAGCUGAGUGACUUUUUUGCUUACAUCAGGCAUGCUUGAUUUCUAUGGAGAUACUCCCUCUGUUCCUUAAUGUAAGUCUUUUUAGAUAUUCCAAUAUAGACUAAUACGGAGCAAAAUGAGUAUCUACACUCUAAAAUAUGUCUAUAUUCAUCCGUGUGUAGUCCAUAUUGAAAUCUCUAAAAGGACUUAUGUUUAGGAACGGAGGAAGUACAUGGUUAAUGCUCUACCGAAGUAUGUGCAUGCAAGGCACAUUUUUAGAUUGGUUUGCAUUUUAUGGGCAAAGUUGUUGGUUUUCGUAGCAUGGCAACCUUCAGAUGUUGAUGCAAAAGACAAGCGAUGCUUUACUCGGUGCAGUUUUCAUAUGGUCUAUUUAAUUAGCUUUUGUCUGAUGUCGUCAUGGUACAAGGCAUAAUUUUGCCAAAUGUAUUGCUUGAUAUACUGGUAGGAAACAUAAACACACCUACAUGAACUGUUUCAAGCUUUGCUUUGCUUUGCUAUGUUCUUAACUUCCAAUCUAUGUUAUUAACUUCCAAUAGCAUAUUACAUGAAAUAUUCAUUGCAUCUCAUUUUGCACCCUGGUCCACUCACCAAAAAGGGGCAGCCCACAGUGUUUUUGUAAAGAACGCAAUGAAGCAAAGUAGAAUCUUGUAUUUGUAUCAAUCUUCUUUUUGCAGUACUUUUGCAUGCAGUAAUCUUGUUUGUGCCUUUGGAAGCGAGGAGAUCCAGACUGAAACAAAUGCAGCAAGGAAGAUAUUUACUACAGACAAACAUGUGCACUGCAGUUCUGUUGAGAGAGAUUAAGUCAGGUGCACAUUUGCUUCGGGAAUCUUAUGGGAAGUAGUGAAACUAUGAUUUGGCCCUGGAGGCGUCACCUAACAAUUGUGCUUGCCAGGUUAGUUUCUGUUGUCAGGAAGAUGACCUUAAUGCAUUGGUAAGAUUUGAGGUUGCUCUCGUCCAUAGGUACAGAAAAAGGGUACCAAUAUUUACAUAUUCUAGGCUUGCUGACGAAUGUCGCACUUUCUUAAUCUUCCAUAUCACCAAUAUUUGAAAUGUUUAUUUGAUGUGGAUGCACCAUAGAGUAGUGUUCUUCAUUUGAUGUUGCUUUUAAUUUUCAAUGUUCAGUGCAAUACAACAGUAUGGCUCUUGCUGAGAAUUUCAAUCUGAAGCUAACUGGUAUUGAUGUUGUGCAACAUCGAACGUUCAAAUCUUUAGAAUCAGUGGACAAAGUAGUUUCUUGUACAUACUAGAUCGGACAAUCCGUUUCUGUUGGAAGUAUAUUGUUGGAUCUUAGAUCAAGAGGACGGUAUUUUUUUUUUGAAAAGGAGGGCAGCCCCCGGCCUCUGCAUCAAAACGAAGGUCUUUCAUCUAAUUUUCUUUUUAAGAAACCAUUUUUUUAGCAAAGUUAGUACAAUGGGCGAGAAAUCAGCUAAUUCGUUUUCUUGUUGCUGGUAAAGAAUGUUUUAGGACAAUGUUUGUAGCUAGACUUUGUGCAUAGAUUUGUACUGUGGAUGUGUAGAAGGAACCACAUUGUUGGUACCUGAAGGCACACUCAAUAAGAUUAUCUACCCUUUUAUUAUUUGGUUUGCGCCAAACUAUCAUACAUUCCAUUGCUUGGUUGGUCAUGUAGGUGACAAGUGAUGAUCUACUUACUAUAAGUCUACAAGUGGAUAUAUUUUCUUUCCAACUCUUGUCACCUUGGUAUUAUUUUUUUGUUCUUCAAGACUUGACAUGGAUGACAUCUAGGGGCAAAUGGAAGUUAUGUUAUCCAUAUAGACAAAAUGAGAUCUAUCUUGAAAUGCAGAAGGUUUGUGCAUUAUAGUUUUAUUGGGUGAUCGUGAGAACCAGCGCCGAGGAGAUGUUGCGGGUCAUUGAGGAGUACAUCACGCCAUAUGUUCAUGCUCGCUCGUCAUCGUGGCAGUGCCUGCUAUCCUCGCUAGCUCCCGCUGCUGCUGAGGGGUACCACCGACGCUCAUGUGAUGGAUCGCUUGCAUGUCACUGGUGGGGAAAAUUAGGGAAACUUAAUAAAGUAUAGUUUGAUUAUUUUAAAUGUUGAGUUUACCUCAAAUACUCUGUGUAUUUAUAUAGUACGCUUACAAUAUUUUCAUAUUAUGUACUCCCUCUGUAAGCAAAUAAUAUAAGAUGUUUUAGGUCACUACUUGUCCAAAGUGAGGUGAAUUUUCACUUGAAGAUGAGUGCAUAGUGUCAAAAAAAUGUCUUACAUUAUAAGACGAAGGAAGUAGAAACGGAGGUAGUAGAAAAGAAGCGAGAGGAUGUGACAAGGAUAAGAUGUGCGAUAUGUUGUGGAGCAACGUGGUGAUAGAGGAGAGGACGAUGGAAGUAAUAAUAGUUAAGACGUGAUUUGCAUAUCCAAAAAUUAAAUUUAACAAGACGUGCAUUGCACGUGCACGAUUACUAGUAUGGAAUGUUACAAAUAAACACUUGAAAUGCAUUCAAAAUCAAUUUUCAUAGCAAAUAAU